rnacentral:sRNA from 1 species
UUCGGAUUGCACAGAUUGAUGAUGAUGGUGGGGUGGAUCUGAGGUGAUUCGUGAGACUCCUGAUUCCUGAGACAUCCUUUUUCCUGGAUAUUGCAAUCAUGUUGAGACAGCCCACAGCCCCCCAGCAGCAAAAAGGCGAGCCCGAGUCCCCUAUGAGAGAUAUAAAGCUAAAGAAAUGAGGCGAUGCCAGAGGCAGGAGGUGGCAAUAAAAUAAAUAAACUUUGAAGGCAAUCUCAAUUGGAA